UACGGAGGGUGCAAGCGUUAUCCGGAUUAACUGGGUUUAAAGGGUGCGUAGGUGGGUUGGUAAGUCAGUGGUGAAAUCUCCGUGCUUAACAUGGAAACUGCCAUUGAUACUACUGAUCUUGAAUUUUCUGGAGGUAAGCGGAAUAUGUCAUGUAGCGGUGAAAUGCUUAGAUAUGACAUAGAACACCAAUUGCGAAGGCAGCUUACUACAGGGAUAUUGACACUGAGGCACGAAAGCGUGGGGAUCAAACAGG
rnacentral:rRNA from 1 species